CCUGCAUGAAGUCGGAAUUGCUAGUAAUCGCGGAUCAGCAUGCCGCGGUGAAUACGUUCCCGGGCCUUGUACACACCGCCCGUCACACCAUGGGAGCCGGUAAUACCCGAAGUCAGUAGUCCAACCACGUGAGGACGCUGCCGAAGGUAGGAUUGGCGACUGGGGUGAAGUCGUAACAAGGUAGC
rnacentral:rRNA from 1 species